AAACUGGGUCUAAUACCGGAUAUACCUCAUGGGAUGCAUGUCUUGUGGGGGAAAGCUUUUGCGGUGUGGGAUGGGCCCGCGGCCUAUCAGCUUGUUGGUGGGGUGAUGGCCUACCAAGGCGACGACGGGUAGCCGGCCUGAGAGGGUGUCCGGCCACACUGGGACUGAGAUACGGCCCAGACUCCUACGGGAGGCAGCAGUGGGGAAUAUUGCACAAUGGGCGCAAGCCUGAUGCAGCGACGCCGCGUGAGGGACGACGGCCUUCGGGUUGUAAACCUCUUUCAGCACAGACGAAGCGCAAGUGACGGUAUGUGCAGAAGAAGGACCGGCCAACUACGUGCCAGCAGCCGCGGUAAUACGUAGGGUCCGAGCGUUGUCCGGAAUUACUGGGCGUAAAGAGCUCGUAGGUGGUUUGUCGCGUUGUUCGUGAAAACUCACAACUCAAUUGUGGGCGUGCGGGCGAUACGGGCAGACUGGAGUACUGCAGGGGAGACUGGAAUUCCUGGUGUAGCGGUGGAAUGCGCAGAUAUCAGGAGGAACACCGGUGGCGAAGGCGGGUCUCUGGGCAGUAACUGACGCUGAGGAGCGAAAGCGUGGGGAGCGAACAGGAUUAGAUACCCUGGUAGUCCACGCCGUAAACGGUGGGUACUAGGUGUGGGUUUCCUUCCUUGGGAUCCGUGCCGUAGCUAACGCAUUAAGUACCCCGCCU
rnacentral:rRNA from 1 species